AGAAACCCGAAAAAUUACGAAGUUCUGGAUUCUUCUGGGCGCCGCAAGCCUUUCACGUCCUCUCUAGCUUCGCCGCCGGCCGCCAGCUCCGUCGGUGGCCACAGCCGGUCUUCCAUCUCCGAUCACGGAAGACGCAAGGAGCUCGAACCUAGAUCCUCUGGAUUUCCUCUCUCGUCUGAGCAACAUCGAGAGUUGCGCGAGCAGGCUGGUGGAUUCAUCGGUGCAAAUACUUCUUCGAGAUCGGAGACAGAAGCUCGAGGCCCACGACUGAGUGUUCCGUCGGCCGUUGGCGUCGAAUUACGAAGAGGCUCACGUCGCUGAGUUCGGCAAUCAACUUCGGCUCCAGUUGAAUCGCCGUGGAGCAAGGCCCAUGUAAGUGGGGCUACAUUCUCGAUUGGCUUCUUUUUAGUGGGUACCAUAGCAUUUCACCUAGAGGCCUGGAACAAUGGCACAUGCUUCCGGUAUCAUUUCCAUUGCCUACUGAACAUGCUGGAUUAAGGGCUAUACCUGCAGUACGUGCUCGCCAUAUGGUAAUUUCUUGGU